rnacentral:rRNA from 1 species
UACGUAGGGUGCGAGCGUUGUCCGGAAUUAUUGGGCGUAAAGGGCUCGUAGGCGGUUUGUCGCGUCGGGAGUGAAAACACCGGGGCUUAACUCGGUGCUUGCUUCCGAUACGGGCAGACUAGAGGCAUGCAGGGGAGGAACGAAUUCCUGGUGUAGCGGUGAAAUGCGCAGAUAUCAGGAGGAACACCGGUGGCGAAGGCGGUUCUCUGGGCAUGUCCUGACGCUGAGGAGCGAAAGUGUGGGGAGCGAACAGG